AAUAGCUGUUGCACCAUUAGCGAUGUCCUGAUCCAACAUCGAGGUCGUAAACCCCGCCGUCGAUAGGGACUCUGUGGCGGGAUUGCGCUGUUAUCCCUGGGGUAGCUUGGUCCGUUGAUCAAAUGUAUUGGAUUAUUUUGCUGUGGGCACUUUGAGUUGUUUUGCUAAGUAAAGGGUUUUGUUCUAUUUUCGGAGGUUUUGUUUUACUCCGAGGUCGCCCCAACCAAAAAUAUGCAUCAAAUGUUAAGUUAGUUUGUGGGCCCAUGUGGGGUGGGUAUGGUGUAAAUUGAUGGUUUAUUUGAAGUUCCACAGGGUCUUCUCGUCUUAUAUUUGUAUUCUCGCUUUUGCACGAGAGGAUCAAUUCCACUG
rnacentral:rRNA from 1 species